GCGAGAGUGCUGGAAUUGGCAGACAGGCUAGCUUGAGGUGCUAGUGUUCGUAAGAGCGUACGGGUUCAAGUCCCGUCUUUCGCACCA
rnacentral:tRNA from 1 species